rnacentral:lncRNA from 1 species
GCCCUGAAAGGAAGGGGAGGGGGAUUUCGCUGAGCUCUUUCCCCCCACUAACCUCUGGUCCAGGCUUUAUAGCAGAAAGAUUCCUUCCCAGGACAGGAGAGUUCACUUGUCUUGACAUCCUCCUCAAGCCAAAGGUGGCCCCGGCUCUUUAAAACUUGGCAUCGGUAGGAGGGUCUCCUGAAAGAAGAAGCGCGAGACCUUGGAUAUGAAGGCGGGGAGAGGCCGCAAAGGCCAUCCAGCCCAACCCCCUUUAAAGUAGGAAGAGGCCACCAAAGCAUCUCCGCAGAUUAUUUAUUGAUGGUGUCAGAAACGAACUGAGAACACAGCUAUAAUGUAUAAUAAAGCACAAGAGAAAAAGAAUGUGCUGAGAUCUGUGUUAACAUGUCAACAACCUAGCUCAAUUCUCAUUCCUACAUCGACAGAAUAGAAUCACCUUACAUUGCCAGCAAAGAGUCUUCGAACUGUCAAACUGUGCCCCAGGCAGAGGGCGCAUCCUGGACAAGAACUACCUGGCCAUUGUCCACGGACAACCAACAUUGCAUCCCAUCUGAGACUGCCUCAGUUGCAAGCCAGCUAUCACCAGGCAAAGAUCAAAACAAAGGCGCUGAUCGCCCAAGAUACCCCAAUAGAUAUUUUUGGACUUUUCCUUUAUUUCAGAAUGCCUAAGAGUGGAACUGGAGAUCACCACCUUUUGUCCACCACCUUUUGUCUUUUGUGCAGGAGGCUGUACAAGAUUUACCAUCAAGUCAAGCCUACCAUUUUGAAUUCACCAUUGUUAGUUUUGUCCAAGCCGUCCACAAUGUUUUUUGAAGUCCGUUAUGAAGAGUAAGAAGAUGUGUCAUCUUGUUGUUUUUAUGUGGUGGUUUUGUUAUUUUAUAACCUGGG